rnacentral:lncRNA from 1 species
UUCCCCCUUUUUUCUUGCAUCGUGGGGGCAGCUGUUUAGACACUUAGGUUUUUUGAGUUUCAAAUUGUGUUUUGAUAUAGAUAUUGAAAGUGGCCACAGUAGGGAUCGAGCCUUCACUAACCAUAUAGAUAUUCAUAUCGCGCAUGGUAUGAAUAUCUCUUACCUGAACAUUUGAUCAUUCAAUUAUCAAUAUUGCGGUUCAUUUGCAAGUUUUAUGUUCAGUCCUGCUAUAUGAGAAUCAGUAUCUGGAGCAAAAUCUCAAGAUCUCAUCCAGUUCACCAUCACAAAUUAAGGUUUUGAAACCUGAUAGAACUUGACUUUGAAACUAUGAUCAGGUAUUUCAAAGAGUUCUUAAAGCAUACGCCACAAAACUUUUUGUAAAACUACCUAAAGGUGGUAUGGGGCUUGUUGCAGCAGCCACAGGUAUAGAUGGACAGAUAAAGGUAGCGUAUUUUACAACUUUUUCUGGCUCUUUUUUAAAGUUCUUUUAUGUUUGCUUUUUGAGCAACAAUUGUAAUCAUGCAGACUUCAGACAGAGAUGAAAGAGUGAUCUGUUACAUAGUGAAUUCAGCUGAAUACUGCCAUAAGACGGUUAGUUAUUAAAUGCUUAUUUUUUCCUUAACAAUUAUCGUGACUACUGGGGUAUUUUACCUUGUCAUAUUGUUAAAGCUAUGGAGAACAGUUUAAAGCAACAUGGAAAGUUGGACUGUGUGCUUAAUAUUGUUGUUUAACAUGUUAUUCUUCCGGGAAGAACAUAAAAAUGUUAUUGCUGAAAUUAUAGCAAUGUCCCACCAGAAGGUUCUUUGGACUGUUUGUGCUUUGCUUGAGAGUGCAUGACCAAUUGCUAUGCCAUGUUCAAAUCUUCAACCUUUAUAGUUAACUAUUCACAAAAAACUUCAAAAUGCAUUAGGGUAAAAUCAAAUUUUUGGUUCUUGAGAGUUGUAUCACGAGAUUUUAUUCUACUUGUUGUCAAUGCUAAAUCUCAGAAUUUCAGAGUCAACUUCGCUAUUCCUUAACUGUUUUAGGCGAUAGAAUGCAAUUAAGCAAUGUUUUUUAUAAUGCUAGAGAAAAUUGUUCCAAAAUGGCAUCAUUAAUAUGAGAAAUUGUUUGAUGAGGGUUGAGACAAUAUUUGCUGGUUACAUAAUAUUUGAUUUUUGAAUUCCAGUCUGAUUGGGCAAAAUUGGUGUAAGUUUAUCAUAACUGCAGUUUGACAUUUUAUAGGCUGGCGAACUGGCUGAAAGCGUGUCAAAGAUAAUUGAUUCCCAAUAUGCUGAUGGUGUGGAUAUGUCAGAAGUACAGGUACUGUUUGACAUCAAUUUGCAUGCACUUGUGACUUACUCAUGCACGGUUCUCUUUGUCACUAGUUGCCAACUUAUAAGCGGUAUUGCAGGAUGAAUUUUCUGCAGUAAUAACAAAAGCACUUGUGACUCUAGUGCACGGCCUUGAAACGAAAUUUGAUAUAGAAAUGGCCACCAUGACACGCAUCCCAUGGAACACUCUAGAAAGUGUUGGUGACCAAUCAGGGUGAGUUGAUUUCUCCAUUUCUAAAAUGUAUUUAAUGGAGGUUAUGGUUCACUUCUAUGACCACAUUUUUUUUGCAGGUAUGUUAACAACAUAAAUCUGAUGCUGAAUAAUAGUAUUCCUGUGCUUGGAAGCCUUCUGUCUCCUAUUUAUUUCCAGUUCUUUUUGGACAAGGUAACCUGAAGGAUUUUUCUGUUUCCUGAUUUUAUGCAUUAACCUACAUAUUUUGUCAUUUAGCAACAAAAAGAAAUAAACUGAGGGCGCAACACUUCCUACAGAUCUUUUGCUGUUAGUAUUUCUUAUGUUGCAGAACAGUGACCUAUCUUCUUAGGAGCCUCUUUCCACGGUUGUGCUUAAUUAUACUCAUUGUCAGCUGUAGAAUAAGGCGAGUCUCAGUUUAGCCAUCUUUCUGCAAGGCAAACGUUUUUACAAGCCAAAUUAGUGUCCAUGCAUUUUGUUGCAUAACUUCCAGCGAAGAUCUACUUUCUUCAGUCCCUUUUUUCUCAACGUUGUUAACUUUGUUCUUGCAGCUUGCAUCAUCUCUUGGUCCCCGCUUCUAUGUCAACAUAUUUAAAUGCAAACAGAUAUCUGAGACUGGAGCCCAACAAGUAAUUGCUGCUUCUCUUUAAUGUGUGUCAUCAUUUUGAAAGAUCUAACUACUUAGAAAGUUUUAAUAUUUUGCAUUUGAGGCUUAUGUGCUAAGACCGACUUUGAAGCAAUACCUGCUGACAUAUUGGAAUCAUAUUGAAGCAUCUCACUAUUCAGAGUAUGCCUUAAAUUCUUUGCACCUGAGCAAGAAUCAUAUUGGAAUUUUCUCCUUGAAUGGAAAUGUCAUCUUGACUUAUCUAAAUAGCUACACGUGGAUCUAAGUGCUUUGAUUUCUAAGCCACUGCAUGGCAUUAGAGCUCUCUACUUCCCACAAUUAUAGCACUUGUUUCAAUGAGUAGUUUUUUUUAGAUUAUUUAUGUAAUUUUAGUUAAGGGACUCAAUGUCUCUCAUGUCUUCUAUCUUUAUGCUUUCAAAUGGUUUAUUGUCAACAAAGUGAAACAUGUAUUACUUUUGAUGUAUAUCUCUUGAUGCAUGCCUGUUGCUUUUCUCUUAAAUGAACAGCCAAAGGACACAUUCAACGCGCUAUAUUGGCAUGAUAUGUUUACUUUUGCAAUGGCUAGUAUCAUAGAAACCAUAGCUGAAAUAACGUAGUUCAAUUUGGAGAGAGAUUUUCUUCUGUGGUUUCAUUGAUUGAACUUUCAAUGAAAAGGACCUUGUCUAUUGUUGUUGCUGCUUUGAGUAGAAAUUGCCUCUCUAGUUUGUGCAAUCAAUUUGAUAUCUUGGAAUCAUUUUGACUGUAUCAUACUUUUUGCAGAUGCUGUUGGAUACUCAAGCCAUAAAGACAAUCCUUCUUGAUAUUCCUUCCCUAGGCCGACAAGUGAGUUGGUACAUUUACUAUAGUAUUAUUACUUCGAUGACAUCCAAAUAUAGGCUCUUGAAUCUCCUUUCACUUUUAUCCUGUUGUUGACGAAACAUCUAAACGUGCAAGUAACCUAGAUCUUUUCUUUUAGCAUUUUGUGGAUGUGGUUAACCAAUGAUGACAAAUUGUAUAUCGCUGACACUGGAACCAGUGAAAUUGACUUUCAAGUAUGGCCAACAAUAGCUUGGAACUCCGCUCACAUCUCUCUAUUGAUUUUGGUGCUUGCACUUUGAGCACCAUCAUUCAUCCCAACCUAUUUUUGGGACUUUUUAAGUUCCUGCUUCUGGUCAUUCAUGACUUACUUAUCCAGUGUUGAUUUAGAUUAUGAUUCUUGCUUGGUGUUUAUGAUGCCUUUUGCAAUUGACAAAUUUUUGCAGCUACAUUACACUCUGCAAUAGCUCUACAAGGAAACUUAAAAGUUAUGUCAUUACUAAUAGCUGGUCUUAGAUAAAAUGGCAGAAAAUUAUCGUAGGCCUAGAAUUUUCCAGCUGUCUCAGUUGACUGGAGAAGCAAUAGUAACUAGGGAGGCCCCGAUCAUGCUGAUUUGGUGCAAUUGCAAGGGACUUGGAAGUCACAAUGUUCAGUGGCAAAGGAACUGGUAAUCAGUUUCCUGUAAUAUGAGAAUAAAAGUUGAUGCUUUUAGGCAAGCAUAGAUAAGUGGGCAGACAAACAGUUCGGCUCACAUUUUUGCUUCGAUCUAGAGUCAGACAAUCCUGUAUCUGCAAAUGUUACUGGAAGUUACUUUAAUUUGCAUUGAUGCAGUUACAUGUUGCACGUUUGAUUGGAAUUCUUGGUCAAUAAUCCCUGUAGUUUUCAAAGAGAUUCUUUCGUCUUUUCUUCCAUUCAACAAACGAGCUCAUGCAUCCAUUUUGUAAUCUGUUUCUUCGGUGCAGACAACAACUGCUGCCAGCUAUUCUAAGUUUGUAAGCCGAGAGAUGAGCAAAGCUGAAGCACUUCUAAAGGUUCUCUUCUUUACUUAGUGCAGGCUGUUACUCUCAAGUACGCCUUCUCUGUCACACUCAUGAUUGUUUUCCCAUCACAGGUCAUUCUGUCUCCAGUUGAUUCUGUGGCGGAUACAUAUCGUGCAUUGUUACCAGAAGGAACAACAAUGGAGUUUCAGCGCGUUCUGGAGCUCAAGGUAGUUGACAGAAUAUUAUCUCUCAGGCAUAUUUUGAUAGAAUAUGAAAAAAGAAAAAUGAUAUUAUUUUUGUGACAUGGCAACAUUGGAUGGAGUACAUUGUCUUCUCUCGCAGUAAAGGAAAAACAGUCGUGAUCUCUUUCUUGUUUGCACAAUGGAAAAUUAAUCAGCAAGCAUUAAUGCUUCAUCAUUUCUCCACGAGUUCUUUACAUUUUAUCUAUCUUGUCCAGAGUUUUGUUUCUAUGCCGGUUGUGACGUGGAAUUGGCAUGUGCAGGGGCUCAAGAAGGCUGAUCAGCAAACUAUAUUGGAUGACUUCAACAAACUUGGACCUGGGAUCACGCAACCUCCUGUAGCACCGCCUGUUGUUCCUGCUGUCCCACUUCCCAUAAUAGCUCCUGCAAUGUCCAACAUUGCUCCAGUCGGCUUGAUCGCUUCCGGGGAGGAUGUGCUCACAAGAGCUGCUGCCCUCGGGCGAGGUGCCGCCUCCACAGGUUUCAAGAGGUUUCUUGCUCUCACGGAAGCAGCUAAGGAUAGGAAGGAUGGACCUUUUCGGAAGCUUUUCAAUGCUUAAUCAUAUGAAUCCUCCUCAUCUUUGUGAAUUUUCAUUUUUGAAUUUGAUUCCAUUUUUUGGUAAUUCCGUAUAGCUUACGCUUCAUUUGUAAUUCCUUCUCUAAGAUUAAACAAAAAUGAAAAAAAGGAGCUUUUCUUGAAGGACCAUGGUCUGUUCUUUUAAGAACAGCAGCAAGUUGACAGCCUAAAGAGAGAUCUACUUUUCUAAGGGGGUAAGAAACUUUAACGUUACGGCAUAGCGCAUAUCUUUUUCCGAUUCUUACCGACCUCGUGUUGAUGGAGAUCGGUCGCUGGUCGAGAAGGAAUUAGUUGUUUGCAGAAACAGCGGUGCAAAUUUUUCUGACUUCUUGAACAGAUGAAACGAAUACGAUGCUUGUGUCAACUGAUAAAGAACGGAAUAACUUAGGAAAGCUGCGGGUCUGCUUUCUCAACCUGUGUGCCGAAAAAGUGAUACAUCUCGAGUAUAAUUAGCGUCUUUGGCACAAGCAUCAGCUGCUCUUUGCAAAAAAUCUUUACAAUCUAUCAGCCCAGGCAAACUUUCAGACCGGUUAAUUUGUCCAAAUUUUCUCCGGCGACGACAGAAUCAGAAAACUGCUCCAAUGGAAGUAACUCGGCACCCUAAGACACUAGCUGUAGCUACCGUGUAUGUCGACGUCGCAAAGCCAAGAACCAUGGGUUAUUCUGCUCCUACGGAAGGUGAAGCAUCCAUAUCGCUCGACCAGCUCCCAAAACAGCUGUUCUGGGAGACUCGGGAACUCUACUGGUGGAACGGCUUCUGGUACCGCCCCCGCCAUCUCGAGGCCACCCUGGCUUUUCGCUCACGGUUCCGGCCACGAGACGACGACGUCCUCUUGGCAUCUGCCAUGAAAACCGGAAGCACGUGGCUCAAAGCGCUCUGUUUCUGCAUCUUGACGAGCAAGAGACGUGAACGGAGUCGAGAAAACGGCAACAUCGCGGUCAGCACCGAUCGAGAAGAUCAGUCGGAAGACCCCCUCGCGGCUAACCACCCGGCGCAUUACGUGAAGACCUUGGAGGUCCAGGUAUUUACGGAGAACCCGCCUCCGGACCUCUCGGUCAUCGAGUCGCCGAGGUUGUUCCACACCCACUUGCCUUACAGCGCGCUUCCCGAAUCCGUCAAGGCCUCUCCAUGCAAAGUAAGUAUUGCCUAACCUUGUACUCUACGUUACCCAACCGAUCAUGAAUUAAGAAGCUGCGAGGCUUGCUUUGGUUCUCAUAGAAAAUGGGAAAAUCCUCCGUAUGUUUCACUUUUGCUAAUUUGAUCAUAAACUUUUUAGGUUUGCCAAUUAAAUUAUAAACCUUUUGAUUAUUCAUCAAUUAAGUCAAUCCCGCCAAUUUUAAUUGGAAAAUACUGACAUGAAUGUUGAUAGUGUUAAAGAGGACAAGCAAAGCUCACGUGAAUAAUUUCUUAAAAUAACUUUUGGAUAUUUAUUCUUUUCUUUUCUUUUCCUUUUCUUUUUCCUACCAAGUUCAACGAGGGUCCUAGUCACAAGUGAGGGCCGAUCAACCCUCACCUGCCACUUGGCAAAAGCUGGCGACCCUCUUCGGCCAGUGGAAGAAGAAAAAAAAGUAAAAGAAAGAAAAAUUAAUAAAUAAAAACUUGUUUUUUUUUAAAUUAUAAAUUCAUAUUAAGUGUCGAACAUACCACGUAAGACAGAUGGCAUCCAUGUCAGUAGCCAGAUAGACUCAAUUGACAAAUUAUCAAAAGAUUUAGAAUUCAAUUGACAAAAUUAAAAAAUUUAAGACUGAAUAAAUAAAAACACAACAGAUUUAGAAUUUUUUGAAAAAAUUUAUCGUAGAAAAGCUGAGAGUUUUCACGAUGUUUCCGCACCAUAAGCGAUUAGGUUCGCGCCUUUCUUAUAGAACGAGCCUAUAUCAUUUAUUUUUCCUCUCCAUGCAAGAUCGUCUACAUCACGCGCAACCCGAAAGACACCCUCGUCUCCCUGUGGCACUUCUUCAACCACCUCCGGACCGACGAGGAGGGCCCCUUCCCGUUCGAGCGCGCCUUCGAGGGCUUCUGCGAUGGGGUCUGCUUCUUCGGGCCUUUCUUCGAGCACGUGCUCGAGUACUACAGAGCGAGCUUAGCGAUGCCGGAGAAGGUGCUGUUCCUGAAGUACGAGGACCUGAAGAGAGACCCGAGAGGGCAGGUGAAGAGGCUGAGCUCGUUCCUCGGGCGGCAGCUGGAGGAGGAAGAAGAGGAGGUGGAGGACAUCGUCGGAGGUGCAGCUUGGAGAGGCUUAAGAACCUGGAGGUGAACAGGAACGGGGUCGAUCCGUGGGUGAACAUGCCGAACAGCGUCUUCUUCAGGAAGGGCGUCGUCGGGGACUGGAAGAGCUUGUUCACGGCGGAGAUGGCCCGGCGUCUCGACGAGAUCGCAAGGACAAAGCUUGAGGGGUCAGGACUCGACCUUGGCAUCGAUACGUGAUGAAGGCGUCUUGAUCCGGGUUUUCGGGGAGGAUCCAGUUCUUAGUAAGAUCAUUCCAAUAAAAUCAUCGAAUGAAUUUUGUUAUGGUUUUCGUUGCAAUGAUACAAUGUUCAAAUGAUGUUUGAUUAGCUAUUUCGUUAGAUACGCAAUUGGCCUCUGACGAGCAGAGCCGUCCCUAAAAGCCAAAAUAAGUUCUCUCGUUUUCACUAAUGAUGGCUUGUUGCCAUCGCUGGUCGAAUCCUUUAUACUGGCCGCUAAAGAAAAUGGGUGACUGCUACCCAUCAUAGGUAGGUGUGCAAAACGAGCCACCCGGAAUGGACUAAACUGGUUACUUUGGUCCGCCCCUUUGACCCGGAAUGGACCAAAUCGGCUAUUUUGAUCCAGUUCGUUUUUCUCUUGGAAAUAGGAAUCGGACCGGACCGAUUAUAUAUAUAUUGUAUCUGAAAAAAAAGAAGAGAGUGAUCAGCUUCUUUUUUAAAAAAAUUCUGCAUAAGAUAUAACAUCAAGUAUUGGGAAAAAAAAAGUGACCAGUUCCCGAUCAAGGACCAAUCGGUCCAGUCCCUAGUUCACCCUUAAUUUCAGGUGCUUUACGGAGGAUUUUAUGCCAUCUCCAACAGCGCAGUAUAGGGACGGGACGGGCCGCCUCUUAAAAAAGGGUUUAUAGACUAGAUGGGGCCGUUGGGACUGUAAUAAAUGGGCCAAGCCCAAAGCCCAUCAUUGAUCUAUAACUUCAACCCCUUCGAGCCCAAAGCCCAUUAGAGACCUAUAACUUCAACCCCUUCUAGCUUAAUGAAAAAGGAAAAAGGAGGACGGAGCAACCGAAAAUAAAAAGAAAGGGAAAAGGAAAUGGAGCUCGUCCUUGAAGGGGAAAAGAAAUCGCGGGAAAGAGAGAGAAUCUUUGCGUUUAGACAUUUAGGACAUUGCCAAAUUAAUUCUAUUCCGUAACCCCUGAUAAGUAUUAUGCUAUUUCUGUAAGGACUCAGGCUCCACUGUGUGAUAUUGUUCGCUUUGGGUCACCCGCCCUAGCGCGGACGAACUGCUAUCCCAACCACGGUCUUUUCUUUCACGGUUUUAAAACGCGUCACAUAUAUUAAGGGACUAAGCCUUAUAAAGGCUCCCACAACUCCCCCCUAAGCGAUGUAGGACAAGAAAAAUGCCUUUAGCCUCACUCGCGUACUAUCGAAGCGAUCUUAGUCCAUCCCUCCAUACUGCCCCAGGUCUGGGUUGUCACAUUCUCCCCCUUAAGGCACAGCCUGGUCCCACAUGCUGUGGGAGUCGGCUCUGAUACCAUUUGUAAGGACUUGGGCCCUACUGUGUGAUAUUAUCCGCUUUGGGUCACCCGCCUUGGCGUGGAUGAACCGCCAUCUCAGCCACAGUUUUUUCCCUCACGGUUUUAAAACGCGUCACACAUAUUAAGGGACCCAAGCCUUAGAAAUCCUCUCAGGACUCUCCCCCUAAGCGAUGUGAGUCAGGAGAAAUGCCUUUAACCUCACCCUCAUACUGCAGAGGCGAUCUUAGUUCGUCCCUCUAUACUGCCCCGGGUCUAGGUCGUCACAAUUUCAUUCUCUUAUCAUUCUCCAACUUUAUAUGAAAAUUUGACUCGUCGUAAUUAGCUUGAGUGAAAAUAAGACUAAUCCUCCUCAAUCUUUAAAGGAAAAAAAAUGUAAUUGGGAUAUUUAAAUGGCCAUAUACAGAUCCAAGUAAAGCACUAGCAUAUACAAUCAAGUCCAAAAGUAACCACUGGGAUUCGCCCCAGUGACCAUCCUUCCAACAUGAAAGAGAGAGGUGAGGGGUUCAAAUCCUCACAUUCUCAAGGGGAUGGGGUGGGGACGCGUAAAUUUCAGAAGUGAGUUUCGACUCCCACGCCCUGCAAGAGACAAGCAAAAGUCUGAGAGUGAAUGUAGAGUAAGAAUAAAGUAGAACCGACAAAAAAAAAGAAGAGUCCAAUUUGGUUUUCUAAUUCAAGUGGUCUUUUUCAUUUGUUGUGUUUUCAACUGAAAACUCGAAAGAGAACAAAUUGAAGGCCAUAUCGAAUCGAAGUGUCCCUUGCAAAACCCUCCUAACAUUGAAAUUUAUAGGUGGGAACGCUAUCCAACAUGUACAUAAAAAUACAACAUGCAUUUAUGAUUUGAUUGAAUUGAAAGGGCGCCUAUCACUCUCUUUGGAACUUUUGCGAUUCUUCUCUACUUUUUUUUUUUUGGGUGAAAUAUUCUUCUCUACUUAUUGUAAGUAAAAGAGAGGAAGGGACUGGGGGGAGAGAAAAAAUAUAGAUUAUAAUUAAUUUUGCCAAUUCUCAUGACAAAAUUAACUAAAUUGAGAGAUUAAUUAUGGGAGAUUAUUUCUCCAUAACACCUAUUUUUUAUGGGUAUGGUCCGAUUAUGAUCUUGAUUAAAUAUAAUGGGGAAUUUCGCGACUCUCGUACUUUGUAUAUAUCAAUAUGCGAAAAAAGACAUGAAUGUCAUCUGAUCCGUGGGGUCCGGUUUGCGUCCUCGUGUAAGACAAAGUCGGUAGUUAGUGAUUAAUAAUAGCGUCGUGUUUUCUGCUCGAAUAUCAAGGUCUAUGUCACCCUCAUUUAGUCUUGCUUGACUUGUUCUCCAAUGGUUGUUGUAAAAUAAUAAGCUGUGGUAGUGCUUAUUGACCGAAAUAAAUAAUUACUUGCGGGCAAAACUUCUAAUGGCUGUUCCGAUUAGUCCUACACCUCUCCUGUGGUCGGUUGCCAGCCAUGAUCGAGUAUCAGCUAAAGGCCAAAAGAAAUUGAGAGAGAGGAAAAAACGAAAAAAGGGAAAAUUUAUUCAAAUUAACGCUAAUCACACUACGUAGAAUUGCCAAAAUAAGUAAAUUGGCAAGUUAUCGAAAGUUUUGAGAUUAAACUAGCAAAUAGUCAAAAUAUUUAUUAUUAAAUUGGGAGUAAUCAAAAUGUUUAGCAUUAAAUUGGUACAAUUAAAAAUAUUUAGAACUAAAUUAAUUGUUGUAUAAUAAGUUUAAGUCUUUUUGAACAAUCAUCCCUCGAUAGGAGUCCAGCAUGAAACCUGGUACUUGGGAUGUAAGUAAAAGAGACUCUUUAAUUAAGAAUUUCUACCGUGCUAGAGUUCCUAUGAAGUGGGCAACUAACGGAAUGCCUUCACUGGAUUGAUCUACUGUAGUUAUGAUGGGUCCAUUGACUGAUCCAUGUGGCCCAUCAAAAAUAAGUUCAUAGCUACAUCAUUCAUUCUGUAAGUUAAGCAAAGUUUCGUGCAUGUUAGGUGGCAUAAGCUGUAGGAAAAAAUUGUAUCGUUACAUGGUGUGUGCGCUGUGGAGGAUAGGUGGCUUUCCCCCUUUUUUCUUGCAUCGUGGAGGCAGCUGUUUAGACACUUAGGUUUUUUGAGUUGCAAAUUGUCUUUGGAUAUAGAUAUUGAAAGUGGCCACAGUAGGGAUCGAGCCUUCACUAACCAUUCAACUCUCUCUCUCUCUCUCUCUCUCUCGGUAUGAAUAUCUCUUACCUGAACAUUGGAUCAUUCAAUUAUCAAUAAUAUUGCGGUUCAUUUGCAAGUUUUAUGUUUGGUCCUGCUAUAUGAGAAUCAGUAUCUGGAGCAAAAUCUCAAGAUCUCAUCCAGUUCACCAUCACAAGUUAAGAUUUUGAAACCUGAUAGAACUUGACUUUGAAACUAUGAUCAGGUAUUUCAAAGAGUUCUUAAAGCAUACGCCACAAAACUUUUUGCAAAACUACCUAAAGGUGGUAUGGGGCUUGUUGCAGCGGCCACAGGUAUAGAUGGACAGAUAAAGG